rnacentral:rRNA from 1 species
ACGCACGCUGGCGGCGUGCUUAACACCUGCCAGUCGAACGGAAAGGCCCUGCUUUUGUGGGGUGCCCGAGUGGCGAACGGGUGAGUAACACGUGAGUAACCUGCCCUUGACUUUGGGAUAACUUCAGGAAACUGGGGCUAAUACCGGAUAGGAGCUCCUGCUGCAUGGUGGGGGUUGGAAAGUUUCGGCGGUUGGGGAUGGACUCGCGGCUUAUCAGCUUGUUGGUGGGGUAGUGGCUUACCAAGGCUUUGACGGGUAGCCGGCCUGAGAGGGUGACCGGCCACAUUGGGACUGAGAUACGGCCCAGACUCCUACGGGAGGCAGCAGUGGGGAAUAUUGCACAAUGGGCGGAAGCCUGAUGCAGCAACGCCGCGUGCGGGAUGACGGCCUUCGGGUUGUAAACCGCUUUCGCCUGUGACGAAGCGUGAGUGACGGUAAUGGGUAAAGAAGCACCGGCUAACUACGUG